GAUGAAGAACGCAGCGAAAUGCGAUAAGUAAUGUGAAUUGCAGAAUUCAGUGAAUCAUCGAAUCUUUGAACGCACAUUGCGCCCGCCAGUAUUCUGGCGGGCAUGCCUGUUCGAGCGUCAUUACAACCCUCAGGCCCCCGGGCCUGGCGUUGGGGAUCGGCGGAGCCCCCCGUGGGCACACGCCGUCCCCCAAAUACAGUGGCGGUCCCGCCGCAGCUUCCAUCGCGUAGUAGCUAACACCUCGCGACUGGAGAGCGGCGCGGCCACGCCGUAAAACACCCAACUCUUCUAAAGUUGACCUCGAAUCAGGUAGGAAUACCCGCUGAACUUAAGCAUAUCAAUAAGCGGAGGA
rnacentral:misc_RNA from 1 species